GUUUCCGUGGUGUAGCAGCUAUCACGUCUGCUUUACACGCAGAAGGUCCUCGGUUCGAUCCCGGGCUGAAACA
rnacentral:tRNA from 1 species